UACGUAGGGGGCGAGCGUUACCCGGAAUCACUGGGCGUAAAGCGCGCGUAGGCGGUGACAUCCGUCGAUGGUCAAAGUCGCGGGCUCAACCCGCGGACGGCCGUCGAAACCGUGUCGCUCGAGGGCGGGAGAGGAAGGUGGAACUCCCGGAGGAGCGGUGAAAUGCGAUGAUACCGGGAAGAACCCCAAUGGCGAAGGCAGCCUUCUGGCCCGCUUCUGACGCUGAGGCGCGAAGGCACGGGGAGCAAAC
rnacentral:rRNA from 1 species